UCCGGCUUAUCACCGGCAGUUUCUUUAGAGUGCUCAACUAAAUGGUAGCAACUAAAGACGAGGGUUGCGCUCGUUGCGGGACUUAACCCAACAUCUCACGACACGAGCUGACGACAGCCAUGCACCACCUGUGAUGGUGUCCGAAGAGGACCGUGUUUCCACGGUUUUCACCAACAUGUCAAGCCUAGGUAAGGUUCUUCGCGUUGCGUCGAAUUAAACCACAUGCUCCGCUGCUUGUGCGGGUCCCCGUCAAUUCCUUUGAGUUUUAACCUUGCGGCCGUACUCCCCAGGCGGGAUGCUUAAUGCGUUAGCUUCGGCACAGGAGGAGUCGACACCUCCUACACCUAGCAUCCAUCGUUUACGGCGUGGACUAC
rnacentral:misc_RNA from 1 species